rnacentral:rRNA from 1 species
UGAUCCUGGCUCAGAACGAACGCUGGCGGCGUGCCUAACACAUGCAAGUCGAACGUGAACGGGGCAACCCUAGUAAAGUGGCGUACGGGUGAGUAACACGUAGGUAAUCUACCUUACAGUUCGGAAUAACCUGCCGAAAGGCGGGCUAAUACUGGAUAGAGCGACGGAAACCUUAAUGGUUUUUUCGGGAAAGGGAGCUCGAUAAGAGCCUUCGCUGUAGGAUGAGCCUGCGUCUGAUUAGCUAGUUGGUAAGGUAACGGCUUACCAAGGCGACGAUCAGUAGCCGACCUGAGAGGGUGAUCGGCCACAUUGGAACUGAGACACGGUCCAAACUCCUACGGGAGGCAGCAGUGGGGAAUAUUGCACAAUGGGCGAAAGCCUGAUGCAGCAACGCCGCGUGAGCGAUGAAGGCCUUCGGGUCGUAAAGCUCUGUCCUCAAGGAAGAUAAUGACGGUACUUGAGGAGGAAGCCCCGGCUAACUACGUGCCAGCAGCCGCGGUAAUACGUAGGGGGCUAGCGUUAUCCGGAAUUACUGGGCGUAAAGGGUGCGUAGGUGGUUUCUUAAGUCAGAGGUGAAAGGCUACGGCUCAACCGUAGUAAGCCUUUGAAACUGGGAAACUUGAGUGCAGGAGAGGAGAGUGGAAUUCCUAGUGUAGCGGUGAAAUGCGUAGAUAUUAGGAGGAACACCAGUGGCGAAGGCGAUCUACUGGACGAUAACUGACGCUGAGGCGCGAAAGCGUGGGGAGCAAACAGGAUUAGAUACCCUGGUAGUCCACGCCCUAAACGAUGAUUACUCGAUGUGUGCGAUAUACUGUACGCGUCUAAGCGAAAGCAUUAAGUAAUCCACCUGGGGAGUACGACCGCAAGGUUGAAACUCAAAGGAAUUGACGGGGGCCCGCACAAGCAGUGGAUUAUGUGGUUUAAUUCGACGCAACGCGAAGAACCUUACCGGGAUUUGACAUCCUACUAACGAAGCAGAGAUGCAUUAGGUGCCCUUCGGGGAAAGUAGAGACAGGUGGUGCAUGGUUGUCGUCAGCUCGUGUCGUGAGAUGUUGGGUUAAGUC